AGACUUGACUUUAAAUGUUCAGAGUAUGAAAAAUAGCCUCUAGUCAGCCAAAGAUGGUAGUGGCUAGGUGGGUGUGCUACUGAUUUUACCAACAGACUCUUCCCUGAAAUAUUGCAUCAUCAUCCUGAAACACAUACUGCUGCCCUCUUCAAUUACGUGUUUGGAUGGCAGGCUAGUUUCUGGAAUUAGAGAAGUAGCAGAGCAGUACCUAGUCUCCGAGCUGAACUGGAUGACCUUGCCUUAGUAAGGAAUGGCAAAAAGGCACUGACCACAGGUCUGUCUGCUGGAUCUAAAGAUCUUUUUGAAAUUAUUUUUCCCCAGAAAAAAAAGUAUCUUUUUGAUCUCAAAAUUCCUGAAGGAGGCAUGGUUGACAUUGUUAUUUUCAAUCUACAUAUCCUUGAAGUUGUGAAUUUCUCAGGAUUGACUGAAGACAUCUUAUGUGGGAUCCCGUCCAACCACUAACUCCUCAGCACUCCUUUACCCACAGAAGUAAAUUUAUUCUUACAUGGAUCUGAGGUCUUCCACUUUCAU